UACGAGAGCUUUUAUCGCCCAGUCAGUACAAAGGGAAGUAACUCUCCAUAUAUCUUUUGUUGCCACACGAAGUCUCGAGAAGGGUUUGGACAGUUGUGAAGACUAUUUCUUGGAAACGAAGUCUCUCAGAGAGCCGUGAUGCAGCAGAUAUAUAUGCACUUUCAUCAUCACCACUGCACAUUCGGGGAAUGUUAGGGCCAAGACCAUCGUCAUUGCAUAGAUCUACUGGUGAGAGAACUGAAGCUGGUCAUCCAAUACUGUCGUUGUACUGACGUACAUGACGCCAGCGUUCCAGACUGGUAGGAGUUGAGGAUUCCAAUAUAUCCACACCAGUGGAAUCUGUCAGCACAGAUCCAGAGUGAG